UUUAAUGAGUAAUUAAAUAACCAAACAAAUGACCAAAUAAACGAACAAGCACAUGUAUUUACGAAUUUAAUACUGUUGAAAAAAAAAAAAAAAAAAAAAAAAAAAAUGCAACGCAAAAGUAAGAAUAAAAAAGUAACUUUUUAUGAACCUUCAACAACUGAUAGUAUAGAAAAUGAAAAACAUGAAUAUGAUGACUAUACUGGUACAAAUUGUUACCAAAGUAACGUAAAUGAUGACCACAGUAACACAAAUGAUGAUCAAAGUAACAUAAAUGAUGAAGAUUUAAAUUACAUGCUAAAAAAUUUCAACCCUCUGGAUUUUGGUAUAAAAGAAAAGCUAACCGAAAGCGAAAAAAAAAUUUUAAUAAAAGAAAUAUUUGGAAGAAGAACAGAAAAACAAAAUAAUCUUCAUGAGAAUAAAAAAGCUAACAUUAUUAUUAAAGAUAUUCAUCAAAGUGAUGAUAAUCAUAAAUUAGAAUGUGACGGUUUGGAUAAACAAGCAGAUAUGAGUAUUGCUACAACUACAGAGGUAAACAAUAUAACAAAAAAAAAGAAAAAAAAAAAAAAAAAUACAAAUCGAAAUAAUAAAGAUUUGUCUUAUUUAGAUGGGGAUUGCUAUUUUCCAAAUGAUGGUUAUGAUUAUGAACAACAUUUAAGACCGACGAGUGAACAUUUUGUAGAAAUAAAAACAAAAACAAAUAAUAACUUUUUUGAAGUAAAACCAUGUAACGAAGAAGAAAUAGAAUUAUUAAAAGCAUUGGAUGAUGACGGAUAUGAAGAAUUAAAUGAUACUUUUGUUUACGAGGCACAAUAUAUCCCAACACAUGAAAUGUUAAAUGUUGAUAAAACAUUAUUAUGGGGAACACAAGAUCCCAUAUUAUUUUGUAAUCACAAUGACAAAUGUACUGAUAAUAAUAGUAAAAGUAAUAGUGAUAGUGACAGUAUAUAUGUAAAUAAUCUAAGUGAAAAUGAAAUCCAAAAGAAACACGAUGAGGAAUUAAAACUACAUCCUAGCGAUAGUGAAUACUCUAAUAAAAAUAAUUAUACAAAAUACAACAAUACAACUAAUAGUCAGUAUAUCACAUUUGACAAAGCAUGUAGCUCAAGUAACAAUAUUGAUAAUAGAAACAAGUUUGAAGAUAAUACUAUAAAUGACAAUAUUAAAAACAGAAAUGACAAAACUAAUAAUAACUAUGAAGAAAAAAAUAAUUUACUAAAUUUGGGUGACUUAAUAAAACAUGCGUUAGAUAAACAUGAUAGUAAAAAUGUCAAAGCGGCUGAGCCAAAUGAAGCAACUGAACCAAACGGAGAAGCCGAACUAAACGACUUAUUCGAACAGAAAAAAAGAAAAAAAAAAAAAAAAAAAACAAAAAAUUAAAGUUAGAAGAUAUAUUAAUUGAUAUACAAAGUGAAGAUAAAAAUAAAAUAUGUGAAAUUAUAAAAAUACA
rnacentral:lncRNA from 1 species